AGCAUGCAGGGAGCCUUGCCUGGGGUCUGCUGGUACCAGCCAGGGUAGUGACUACUAGAGACUGACCCACAACUAAGGCCACAGGUGAGUGUGACUGUCCCUCCUGGAGACACAGAGAGUGAUGGCUCCUGAGUCACCACAGUCUGAGAAUCCACACCUGGGCUGUAAGCAAGGAGCCCGAGCAGGAGCACCAUCCAGGCCAUGGUGGGGACUCUCACAGGACACGGCCCCCACAGGCUCCUGGGCUGGAGGGUGGUGU